rnacentral:rRNA from 1 species
GUUUGAUCCUGGCUCAGGACGAACGCUGGCGGCGUGCCUAAUACAUGCAAGUCGAACGAGAGCGACCGGUGCUUGCACUGGUCAAUCUAGUGGCGAACGGGUGAGUAACACGUGGGUAACCUGCCCAUCAGAGGGGGAUAACAUUCGGAAACGGAUGCUAAAACCGCAUAGGUCUUCGAACCGCAUGGUUUGAAGAGGAAAAGAGGCGCAAGCUUCUGCUGAUGGAUGGACCCGCGGUGCAUUAGCUAGUUGGUGAGGUAACGGCUCACCAAGGCCGUGAUGCAUAGCCGACCUGAGAGGGUGAUCGGCCACAUUGGGACUGAGACACGGCCCAAACUCCUACGGGAGGCAGCAGUAGGGAAUCUUCCGCAAUGGACGCAAGUCUGACGGAGCAACGCCGCGUGAGUGAAGAAGGUUUUCGGAUCGUAAAACUCUGUUGUUAGAGAAGAACAAGUGCUAGAGUAACUGUUAGCGCCUUGACGGUAUCUAACCAGAAAGCCACGGCUAACUACGUGCCAGCAGCCGCGGUAAUACGUAGGUGGCAAGCGUUGUCCGGAUUUAUUGGGCGUAAAGCGAGCGCAGGCGGUUCCUUAAGUCUGAUGUGAAAGCCCCCGGCUCAACCGGGGAGGGUCAUUGGAAACUGGGGAACUUGAGUGCAGAAGAGGAGAGUGGAAUUCCAUGUGUAGCGGUGAAAUGCGUAGAUAUAUGGAGGAACACCAGUGGCGAAGGCGACUCUCUGGUCUGUAACUGACGCUGAGGCUCGAAAGCGUGGGUAGCAAACAGGAUUAGAUACCCUGGUAGUCCACGCCGUAAACGAUGAGUGCUAAGUGUUGGUCUCAUAAGAGAUCAGUGCUGCAGCUAACGCAUUAAGCACUCCGCCUGGGGAGUACGACCGCAAGGUUGAAACUCAAAGGAAUUGACGGGGACCCGCACAAGCGGUGGAGCAUGUGGUUUAA